rnacentral:tRNA from 1 species
CGGAGAUUGGCGCAGCCUGGUAGCGCAUCUGGUUUGGGACCAGAGGGUCGUAGGUUCAAAUCCUACAUCUCCGACCA